rnacentral:lncRNA from 1 species
GGUGCUAGUAAACACUUUUGUGUUUUAGAGUGUGUUUAAUAAUAAGCAGAGAAGAUUAGAGUAAAGAUUAGAGAGAAUAGAGAGAUUCUAGAGAGAGAGAGACUCAAAACUCCAUUAAUUAAUAACUGAUGAGGUUUACAAGUAUUAAUAGAGAGAGCAACAAGGAAAUUCGAAAUGUAUAAGCAUGUGUAGUCAAAUGACAGGCUGGAACUCAUUUUGAAUCACUUGGCUGUGCUUUCUCACAUGCUUGCACUAGUGUAAAAGCAUCCUCUCCUUUACAGCAUCAUACAGGCUGUCAAAGUGCUCCCUUAUCCUUCCUUAUCCUCUUUGGUCGAAAUUCCUCUCUUCUCUUCACUAAUUUACCUUCUCAUCCCAUCAGAUAACUUCCCCAAGUAGUUACUGUGGUUAAACUAAAGUUACCACAGUAAAACUCCAAAGUUACUAUCUGCUCCAAAUCUCUUC